rnacentral:tRNA from 1 species
GGUUCCAUAGCUCAGUGGUAGAGCAAAUGACUGCGGAUCAAUAGGUCACCAGUUUGAACCCGGUUGAGCCCG